CACUAUAAGAAAUUUGGUUCUUUACCAACACAAAGUAUAUGUGGGAAAAAGCAUAUAAUGUGUUGUUAGUUUUCUUUACCUACACAUAAAAUAAGUGUAAUGAUGUAUAGGCUCAUGACUAUGGAUAUAGGUCAUUAUCCACACAUAAGUUAUAUGUAGGCAUAUAGCAAGCUAUACCUACACAUAUAUGUGUGGCUAAAAGCCAUUUAUAUGUGUGGUUAAAAGUACAACAAUUUGUUUAGAAGACAUCUGACGUGGCAGCUGACGUGGAAUCCGACGUGGCAGUUGGCAUGGCAUAUGACAUGGCAUCCAAUGUGGCAGUUGACGUGGCAUCCGACAUGGCAGUUGACGUGGCAUGAAUAUAUGUGUGGGUAA
rnacentral:lncRNA from 1 species